rnacentral:lncRNA from 1 species
GAUGCUCCUGUUGUGUGAUUUGAUGAAUCUCGGAAUUCAAGUAUUUGUGUAGCACUGGGUCUAGAGAGAGGCUGACAUUCAGUGAAGUACCAGGUUCAAAUAAUUAGAAGACUUUAAUUCAGGUAUCCACUGGACUUGAGCUGACCCUAGACUGAUCUCAUGGCAUCUUUGGGGGACCUGAAUCAACAGCUUCCAGCUCAGAACAGGAAUCUGAAACAUAGCACCUACCUCUGAAGACACUAAACAAAAUGCACAAAAUGUCUAUUUGGACCAGAAGGAGCAUUUGAGACUGUCAGUGGCUGUCUUCAAGGGUUCAGAGAACUGAUGUGAUUCCCUCCUCUGCUAUAUUUCUGGAAAAGCAGUUCACCGACCAACUCUAACUAGAGGAAACUUGGGCUGACACUGAACAUUCACUUCGUGCUUUCCCAAAGCCUAAGGGAGCUUUGUGGAAGGGAGGCAUGAUCAAAUGGAAAGAACAUGGCUUUGAGCCUAACAAAGGGUUUAGACUCCUCCGCCUGCCAGAACAGUGAUUCCACCUCUCUUGGAACAGUCAUAUCUGCUGAGAAGUUUAAGGAAGGAACCUUGAGAAAGCAUCAGAGGUGGCUUUGGAGGUGGAAUCUGAAGAAACUAGAGGAGAGAAGAAAGGAAGAAUGGAUUACAAAAGAUGAGCAAGAUGCCUGGAAUUUCACACGUACAUCAUCUCUUUGGGUCACAGAGAAAGCCAUGCUUGAUUAACACUGAGGAUUCGCGUGUGACCUAUGGCUGGUGUCCAAUGACUUCUCCCAUUUUCAGAACACUUCUGUAAUGUUUCCGUCAGUGGUGAAUAUAUGACAUCCAAGGAAAGGUGAGGCCCUGACACUAAGAGGAAUACAAUGACCAGUCCAAGAGGACAACCCAGAACUGGACUUCUGGGGCCUGACUGAACUGGAUUGAGGUAUCGGACACGCUUUUACAGAGGCUAUUUAGGAGGUAGAUUUUAUGAGCCUCAUUUUGCCAAUGAUAACACUAGGGCACAGAGAGGUUCAGCAACCCGCCCAAGGCCACACAGCCAGGAAGGAGCAGGAUCUGACCCCAGGCUGCCUGACUCCGGAGCCCAUGCUUGCAAACAUUCGUAAUCCCUGCUGAAUGAUUUCAGCUCUCCUGCUGUCUUCCCCCACCUCACUGUCUCGCGAUGGACAUUCACAUUUCCCGGCUGGCCCAGAAGCUGCGAUAGGGUGUUAUGAGCUGUUAGCUUAAGAGGGGUGAAGCCCUGUGAAAAGAAAACACACUUGCUCCCCUUCCUCAGCUGCGCUGGUCUUUCCUCCAGCUGAUCUUUCUCCUGUUAUAUAAAUGGAAUGUUAUACAAAUGUUUCCACCAUGAGUUUCCUUUCAAAAGAUGAA